GGGGUUACGUUAUUGGUAAAAAAUGGCUUAAAUAUUGGGAUUGUUGAUUCGCAAUCAAUAGGUCAGGAGUUCGAUCCUCCUCGUCUCCACCA
rnacentral:tRNA from 1 species